rnacentral:lncRNA from 1 species
ACAGGAAUGGGGGCUUAACGGAGGCCUAGAAAACGGGAUAUGCAUCUUGGAACUCAGUAACCCUCGGAGACGAGCUCAUCCAAAGGCUUCACUUCAUACCUGGAGAAACCCGUGGAGUUCAAGCCGCGGGCCCUUGAUCACUGGCUGUGACACAGCAAGACACAGGACAAACUCACACCCUCCUCUAGACGGCUCCGCUCCGAGCACAGAAGAUAUCAGCCAGCCUGGACGUGUCACCUGGACUUGCUGAACCCUCGAGGGCUCACUCCCAGCAUCCUGUGCUCCAGUGCUCCUGGACGCCCCGGUGCCUUCCAGAAGCACGGCCUCAAUGAAACGGAGAGAGCCAGGGGGUGGCUUUCCGGCCCGCUGGGUGCAGGGCAGGUACCAGGACCGGUUCUUUCCCCUUGUUUCCCUGCUGUGCCCGGAGCAGCGACUCCGAGGCCAGUAGGGAAGCCUCAGGUACCCGCGAACCAGGGAAAGUUCCCGCAAAGGUGACGAGAGAAGGGCGUGUCCUGGCUGGUCGCGUGUCUGAGUGAGGCUUCCCGUAGGGCCUUCCCCUGGCCCAAGUCAGAGGACACGCAAGAAGGCGGGCGAGGGUCCGGCCAGAGCCCCGGGGGCCCCACAGCGGCGGCGGGCAGCGGGUCAG